rnacentral:rRNA from 15 species
GGAAGAAAAAACUUCAAUUAAUACUUGAAGUCUUGACGGUACCGACAGAAUAAGCACCGGCUAACUCUGUGCCAGCAGCCGCGGUAAUACAGAGGGUGCUAGCGUUAAUCGGAUUUACUGGGCGUAAAGCGUGCGUAGGCGGUUUGAUAAGUCGGUUGUGAAAGCCCCGGGCUCAACCUGGGAAUUGCGGCCGAUACUGUCAGACUAGAAAACGGUAGAGGGAGGCGGAACUCCAGGUGUAGCGGUGAAAUGCGUAGAUAUAGGAAGGAACACCAGUGGCGAAGGCGACUUUC